AACGAACGCUGGCGGCAUGCCUAACACAUGCAAGUCGAACGAAGGCUUCGGCCUUAGUGGCGCACGGGUGCGUAACGCGUGGGAAUCUGCCCCUCGGUUCGGAAUAACAGUUAGAAAUGACUGCUAAUACCGGAUGUUGACUUCGGUCCAAAGAUUUAUCGCCGAGGGAUGAGCCCGCGUAAGAUUAGGUAGUUGGUGGGGUAAAGGCCUACCAAGCCGACGAUCUUUAGCUGGUCUGAGAGGAUGAUCAGCCACACUGGGACUGAGACACGGCCCAGACUCCUACGGGAGGCAGCAGUGGGGAAUAUUGGACAAUGGGCGAAAGCCUGAUCCAGCAAUGCCGCGUGAGUGAUGAAGGCCUUAGGGUUGUAAAGCUCUUUUACCAGGGAUGAUAAUGACAGUACCUGGAGAAUAAGCUCCGGCUAACUUCGUGCCAGCCGCCGCGGUA
rnacentral:rRNA from 1 species